rnacentral:rRNA from 1 species
GACGAACCGUGCGAACGUUGUUCGGAAUCACUGGGCUUAAAGGGCGCGUAGGCGGGCACGCAAGUCAGGGGUGAAAUCCUCCGGCUCAACCGGAGAACAGCUUUUGAUACUGCGUGCCUCGAGGGGGGUAGGGGCAUGUGGAACUUCCGGUGGAGCGGUGAAAUGCGUAGAUAUCAAGUGGAACACCAGUGGCGAAGGCGAGUCUCUGGACAUUUCCUGACGCUGAGGCACGAAAGCCAGGGGAGCAAACGGG